rnacentral:rRNA from 1 species
GACGAACGCUGGCGGCGUGCCUAACACAUGCAAGUCGAGCGGGGAGGAGGAAGCUUGCUUCCGAAUCCUAGUGGCGAACGGGUGAGUAACGCGUGAGAAACCUGCCUCUCAGUGGGGGACAACAGUUGGAAACGACUGCUAAUACCGCAUAACACUUUAGUACCGCAUGGUACAGAAGUCAAAGCUUUAUGUGCUGAGAGAUGGUCUCGCGUCUGAUUAGCUAGAUGGCGGGGUAACGGCCCACCAAGGCGACGAUCAGUAGCCGGUCUGAGAGGAUGAACGGCCACAUUGGGACUGAGACACGGCCCAGACUCCUACGGGAGGCAGCAGUGGGGAAUCUUCCGCAAUGGACGAAAGUCUGACGGAGCAAUGCCGCGUGAGUGACGAAGGUUUUCGGACCGUAAAGCUCUUUGUUUAUGACGAAUGUGCAUGAUGUGAAUAAUGUUGUGUAAUGACGUAGUAACGAAUAAGCCACGGCUAAC